UCCAAGUAAGAAAAUACAUUUAUUGACCAAUCUAGUAAUAACCAAUAACUUAAGUGGUCAGUGACCUUUCUUGCUGAUCAAAGACCAAGACAGACAGCCCCUUGAGUCAUUAAAUACAAUUUUGGAAGCUUAUUAUUCAGUCUUCCCCUAUUUAGCCCAAGACAUCUCUAAUUGAUGAAUAGCCAAUGAGGUUGUGGGCCAACAUUCCUUCAGUCCUUAUACAAUUCCUUGAUGAUGGUAGAAAAUCACAUGCCUAAUCCUAGGAUAUCAAGGUCUAGAUGAAAAAAAUCAUGUUAUGCCUCAAUAAGAAUGAUAUUGUCUGUUUGCUCCACUUCAAGACUCUGCUCUGCUGCCCUCAGACCUACCUGGCCAAAGCUAGAUCUUGAUGAACGAACAAGAUGGGUUCCACAAUCUUUCAUUUCAGUCAUCCCAACUUAGAAAACGUUCUGGGCUCAACUUGUUGAGAACAAAGGAGUAAAGAAAGAGCUGUGAAGGGCAGAUCUGAGUCUCCAUUAAACACUAAGGAAUUCUACAAUGUUCAGAACUGAUCUAUCUGUCUAAUGACAGGUGCCCCUCUGAGUGUGACUUUGGCAUCAGAAGCCUCAGAUCUCCUGAUGCAGAUUGUGUUACGGAUCAUGACUCAGGAAACUGGAGUUCUUGGCCCCUAGAAUGCUUUCUGAAGUCACUGGAAGAAAGAAGCUAAAAGCCACAGGAAAAGGAAAGAGCCUGAAGGAGAUUCCGAGCCUUCUUCACCAUCCCCCACUGUGGAUACAAAGCUCUGCAUGUCUUCUAGGCUCUGCCCUUCAAAGUCUCUGGAUCAUUCCUCUAUCACAACUCUCCUUAGGUAACCUGGUGGGUCCACGUACACCAUGGGGGCUCACUAUAGUUUAUACGGAAUUUUUCAGGGACACACAAGCUAGUUAGCCCACUGCAUCUCCAACAACUGGGUCCCCUCCCAAGUAGGAAGAGCUAACCUGUUUGGAGAUUUGGCAUUGUGUGAUUCCUCUUAAGAAAUGGUAAAGAGUAAAUUAGCUUGUACAAAUCAGCAGAGACCUCAGUAUACAU
rnacentral:lncRNA from 1 species